rnacentral:rRNA from 2 species
UGUUUGAUGUUCUAACGUGGACCCGUAAUCCGGGUUGCGGACAGUGUCUGGUGGGUAGUUUGACUGGGGCGGUCUCCUCCUAAAGAGUAACGGAGGAGCACGAAGGUUGGCUAAUCCUGGUCGGACAUCAGGAGGUUAGUGCAAUGGCAUAAGCCAGCUUGACUGCGAGCGUGACGGCGCGAGCAGGUGCGAAAGCAGGUCAUAGUGAUCCGGUGGUUCUGAAUGGAAGGGCCAUCGCUCAACGGAUAAAAGGUACUCCGGGGAUAACAGGCUGAUACCGCCCAAGAGUUCAUAUCGACGGCGGUGUUUGGCACCUCGAUGUCGGCUCAUCACAUCCUGGGGCUGAAGUAGGUCCCAAGGGUAUGGCUGUUCGCCAUUUAAAGUGGUACGCGAGCUGGGUUUAGAACGUCGUGAGACAGUUCGGUCCCUAUCUGCCGUGGGCGCUGGAGAACUGAGGGGGGCUGCUCCUAGUACGAGAGGACCGGAGUGGACGCAUCACUGGUGUUCGGGUUGUCAUGCCAAUGGCACUGCCCGGUAGCUAAAUGCGGAAGAGAUAAGUGCUGAAAGCAUCUAAGCACGAAACUUGCCCCGAGAUGAGUUCUCCCUGAGACUUAGAGUCUCCUGAAGGAACGUUGAAGACGACGACGUUGAUAGGCCGGGUGUGUAAGCGCAGCGAUGCGUUGAGCUAACCGGUACUAAUGAACCGUGAGG